UACGUAGGGGGCAAGCGUUGUCCGGAUUUAUUGGGCGUAAAGCUCUCGCAGGUGGUUCGUCGCGUCGUGCGUGAAAGACCCCGGCUCAACUGGGGAGUGUCGUGCGAUACGGGCGAACUGGAGGCCAGUAGGGGGAUGCGGAAUUCCGGGUGUAGUGGUGGAAUGCGUAGAGAUCCGGAGGAACACCAGCGGCGAAGGCGGCAUCCUGGACUGGUCCUGACACUCAGGAGCGAAAGCGUGGGGAGCGAUCCGG
rnacentral:rRNA from 1 species